rnacentral:lncRNA from 1 species
ACCAGCACGCCGCACGCCGCACGCGUACACUCAAGUUGCCUCGAUCCUAAGCAAGACGACCGGUGAGCCAGCCAGCCAAGUAGCGGCCAAGUCCACACCGAGACAUCCCCUCCCCGUCGCGUGGACUCGCGAGCCCCAAUUCCCCCCCACCUCGCCGACGUCGCCGUCGCCGCCGUCUUCCUCCGCUUGAUUCCUCCCCUCCCCUCCUCACCCCCCACAGUCCACGGCGCGUCGAAUGCGUGGCCCUCGCCGCCCGUAGCCUACC